ensembl:lncRNA uncharacterized LOC105013933
GUGGGAGCCUGCUGGGUUAAGGAAGAAUUAGAGCGCAGAUCGUGAGGCUUACAGUAUAAAGGACAUUCUAUUUCAUUUCAUGCUUAGAGGGGAUAAGUGAAACAGGCAGAAUAGACACAUACACACACGGAAACACACUCACAAUCAUUCAGUCAUCUUAUCCAAGAAUACAAUGAACCCAAACCAACAAAAGAUGCACAGCCCCAGGUUCUGUGUCCUGCUACCUCAAAAACAUUCCAGAAUGACUGACAUGACAAGGGGGCAGAAGAUGUCGGAGGAAGGGGAGCCCCUCGGAUGGCCGAAUUCUAAUUCCGAGGAAGAGUACCCCGACCGUUACCCACUAGAGGGCUGGCCAGGCCUGCAGUCUGCCCAGUGACAAGUCCGAGGAUGGACCAAGUGGAGGGUUGCCACCUCCUUCCAUUUCUGAGGCGGGGACGCAGUGCUGGCUCUUGCAUGUCUAAGAUUCCACAUCUCCGAACUCUUACCUGGAUUUCGCCUCUAAAACCGGAUCAGCUACCACGCCCUAACCUGCAUUCAACUUCCUGUCUACCUGGACACCUGCAUCCAUCUGCACGCCAUUCUCCCUGCCAGAAUUCCGUCCAUACUCACCUUAUACGCUUUUCUGUUUGACCAUUAAACCACCAUUCUCUGUCACUUCUUGUCCUUGUCUGCUUUUG